CCUACGGGAGGCAGCAGCAAGGAAUUUUCCCUAUUGGGCGCAAGCCUGAGGGAGCAACGCCGCGUGCAGGACGACGGCCUUCGGGUUGUAAACUGCUUUUCGGGGGGACGAUAAUGACGGUACCCCCGGAAUAAGCCCCGGCUAACUCUGUGCCAGCAGCCGCGGUAAU
rnacentral:rRNA from 1 species